UCACUUCAGCAGUAGAUACGUUAAAAUUGGAAUGAUACAGAGAAGAUCAGCACGGCCUCUGUGCAAAAAUAACACACAAAUUUGUGAGGUGUUCCUUAGAAAU